ensembl:lncRNA
CGGAACACUUUUAAUGGCUAUCAAGCCCCUUUUAAAAUAUGCAUUUUUUAAAUAAAACUUUAAGCAUUCAAUUGCGUAUGUGCCAAAACUCAAUGUAUUCAAUUCAAUGUAUUACUUUCAUUGAAAGCUUAAUUGCAACAGGGAAUGAGUAACAACCUCUUCAUUGCAAUCUUUAGCUCAGAACACAAUGGCAAAGCAAAAAGGCAAAAAAAAAAGAUGCGGAUGCCCCAUGCCUGGAGGCUUUCAAGGCAAGCCUGGAUCAGGCUCUGAGCAACCUGAUGGGAGCUGCAGGCGUCCCUGCUCAUUGCAGGGGAGUCGCACUAGAUGGCCUUUCAAGGUCCCCUCCAACUGUAAGGAUUCUAUGAUUCCAAGUCCAGAUUCAGGCAACUGAUCUGAAGAAAAAUACUUGCUUUUGUUUAAGAGAUGAUAAAGAUCUGUCUUGAGGAGGCCAGGGGUGGGGUGCAGUACCUUGGGGCAGGCUGGGACUUUGUGCUUGAAGUACGGCAGUGGACUGGAGCUAUCCAUCAUCACUUUCAGCUUGCUGAUGCCCAAAUUCUCACUGUGGCUGCGUUGCUCUGGGGCAUUCUUGAUGACAGAGGAGCCUGCUUCAUCAUGCAGCAGUAUUCCCACCUGAAAUUCCCUUGCAAGUCUCUGCAGAGCUGCCCUCCCAUUAAAGGCAGUUGAAUCCAAACAUGAAACACACGUUUACUGUGACUACAAUUUACCAAUGGGACCACUGGUGUGGCACAGGGACGCUCUCCAAGGUAUAGCUGACGUGUUUAAAGCAGUGGCUGAAAGGGAUUCAAGGGCAGCAGGGACACGCAUCAUCCUCUGUGGUUAUGUAAACUGUGAAGAAGAUUGUUCUGUCUGUAGAUGGGAAAAACAGGCAUGGCAGAUGUAGAAACUGACCUGGAGCCUCACCUGAAAAGAACACAAACGUUUGGGGAGCACAGAGAAAAGAAUCAUCCAUGGACCGGGAGAUGUCUCGGGGGGAGACAGAAAGAGUUCAAGCUCCUAAAAAAGAAACCUAAAGGUUAUCAUUUACUGCAUACACAGAGCUGGGAAAAUGUGCUGAAGGUUAAAGGCCCCUUUGGUCUAUGUGGGGAGGUUGCGUAAGAUUGAAGAGCUGGGAAUAAAAUCAAAGAUGUCCUAGUUUAGAAACUAGGUAUGACAUUAACUCUUGGCUGAAAAGGACUCAUUCCCAACACUGGUCAGGAGCACCUCCUGGUGUGGUGGUUUAACACUGGUAGGUGGCUCAGCACCACCACACUGCUCUCUCACGUCCCAUUCAUUGGGGUUGGAUGAGGUGACCUCUAAAGGUCCCUUCCAGCUCAAAACGAUUCUAUGAUUCUGUGAUUUAGGAAACCUUUGAGGGUAGCUCAGAUGGAUUUUUGGAACUGAUACAACAUGCAUAAAGAGACACUGCACUGAUUAAUAAGCAGAG